rfam:Mesorhizobium loti MAFF303099 DNA, complete genome.
AUACCCCAUGAUGCUCAGGUCCGCCGCAUCUCCUGGGUCCGUGGGGUCGGCCGGCCGGCGCUGGCACAUAGUGGCCUCCUCGUACCGCUGCCAAACGCCGACCGGCCCCCUUCU